GUUAUUUUAAACAGGAAAAUGCUUUGGGAAUGUGAAUGUCUUAUGUGUCCAGAGAGUAAGUUUUCUUUAUUAAUUAUUUUUUAAGGGAUACAAAUUUCAUAUGUACAACUUUAGGAAUGUGGUUAUCAGAAAGUAAAUUUUUAUGCCCUGCUGUUUCCAACAGGAGAGUAUUGCUUCCUCAUCCUUUGUGUUUGCAGUCUGUGGACAGCACCCACCUUUCUCUGAAGGACUGUAGCCUGACCUACUGUAGUGGAGAAGGACCAUCAAUACACACAGCGUUUACUGUCGACCGAAGAGCGACACACAAGUUUGCCCACAAUUGCGAGCUGUGAUCCAGGUGGUAUGGAGUGCUAAAUCCGGUGAGUCUUUGCUCACUAGUACUGGCAAAGCCUGUACUAGUGUAAGACACUUGUACCCUGGCUAACCGCUGCUCAUCCUGGGAUGCGCACGUUUGAGAAUGAAAUUAAUUCCUGCUUUUAGUUAGCUGUGUGAAACAGAAUAUUUAACCUCUGCUUCAUUUGAUUUUUAAUUAAAAUGAGAAAUAUCUUUCUCUUAUGUGAUUAUUCUGAUUAUUCAGAAUAACUUUGUUAGUGAGCUAACAAAGGCUGACCUGUGCAACAGAUGAGCUAAAGGUUUUCUAAACAAAAUGGUAAGAAACAGGACAAAGAGAACAAAGUUAACAUAUGUGGAUUUGUUUAUCCAUUUGUUUAACCAUCAUCUUGUAAGUUUCAGGAAGUAAAUCAUGUAGAAGGGAAUUUUGUCUAUUUAACUGAGACUAAGAUGGACACAUAUUUAAUUCGCUUGAUGAAAUAAUGCUCUAAUUGUAGUUCAGCGUCAGAAACUUUUUUUUUUCACGCAUCCAGCACUACCUCACUUCACACAGCUGAUUGUAUUCCUUGUUCUUUCCAAAUCUACCCUCUUGCCCACUCCACAAAUACUCUUUCUGAAUCACUCAUGCUACAAGUGUUCAGUAGAAAUUCAGAGAACUCUUCAAGUACUUCUACAUCUUCAUUUAGAACCGAUUUUAUCAAACAGUUGUGAAAUAGUCAUCCAAUCACUAGUACUUUUUCAUGAAGUGUUUAUAAAAUCUCUCUAUCCCAGUCUUAGCAAUUCCACUGUGUGCGCUCUGCCAACACUGCUUAGUUGAAAAAAUGUACCGCAUUUCCCCUUCCUUCCAGUCCAGGCUUGUUAUGGGUAAACUCUUCAGACUUCUAUAUGCCUGGUGUCUACAACCACGUUUCAUAUCUCUUUCCCUCUAUUUGCAAGACAGAAUUCUGAGUGUUUAUAGCAUUUCUGUGCAUAAUAUUUCUAUCACAUAAAUAGUUCUGACUGCCUAUAAAUAUAUUAGAAUUUCUCCAUUCCCUGAUCUUCUCCCUCCCCACCUCUCUCUACACACACACACACACACACACACACACAUAUAUCAAUUGAUAUGCUUAUAUGUGCAUAUGCAUGCAGAUGUAUAGGUUUGUAUAUACAAAAUUCAAUAUAGAAAAUGGAAAUAAAGAAACA
rnacentral:lncRNA from 1 species